rnacentral:rRNA from 1 species
UGGGGAAUAUUGCGCAAUGGGGGGAACCCUGACGCAGCCAUGCCGCGUGAAUGAAGAAGGCCUUCGGGUUGUAAAGUUCUUUCGGUAUUGAGGAAGGUUGAUGUGUUAAUAGCACAUCAAAUUGACGUUAAAUACAGAAGAAGCACCGGCUAACUCCGUGCCAGCAGCCGCGGUAAUACGGAGGGUGCGAGCGUUAAUCGGAAUAACUGGGCGUAAAGGGCACGCAGGCGGUUAUUUAAGUGAGGUGUGAAAGCCCCGGGCUUAACCUGGGAAUUGCAUUUCAGACUGGGUAACUAGAGUACUUUAGGGAGGGGUAGAAUUCCACGUGUAGCGGUGAAAUGCGUAGAGAUGUGGAGGAAUACCGAAGGCGAAGGCAGCCCCUUGGGAAUGUACUGACGCUCAUGUGCGAAAGCGUGGGGAGCAAACAGGAUUAGAUACCCUGGUAGUCCACGCUGUAAACGCUGUCGAUUUGGGGGUUGGGGUUUAACUCUGGCGCCCGUAGCUAACGUGAUAAACCGACCGCCUGGGGAGUACGGCCGCAAGGUUA